rnacentral:rRNA from 1 species
CUUACGGGUGGCAGCAGUGAGGAAUAUUGGUCAAUGGGCGCGAGCCUGAACCAGCCAAGUAGCGUGAAGGAUGACUGCCCUACGGGUUGUAAACUUCUUUUAUAAAGGAAUAAAGUGAGGCACGUGUGCCUUUUUGUAUGUACUUUAUGAAUAAGGAUCGGCUAACUACGUGCCAGCAGCCGCGGUAAUACGGAGGGUCCGAGCGUUAUCCGGAUUUAUUGGGUUUAAAGGGAGCGUAGAUGGGUUGUUAAGUCAGUUGUGAAAGUUUGCGGCUCAACCGUAAAAUUGCAUUGGAUUCUGGGAGUCUUGAGUACAGAUGAGGAGUGUGGAAUUCGUUGUGUAGCGGUGAAAUGCGUAGAUAUCAGGAAGAACACC